GAUGAACGCUGGCGGCGUGCCUAAUACAUGCCAGUCGAGCGAACGGACGAGAAGCUUGCUUUUCUGAUGUUAGCGGCGGACGGGUGAGUAACACGUGGAUAACCUACCUAUAAGACUGGGAUAACUUCGGGAAACCGGAGCUAAUACCGGAUAAUAUUUUGAACCGCAUGGUUCAAAAGUGAAAGACGGUCUUGCUGUCACUUAUAGAUGGAUCCGCGCUGCAUUAGCUAGUUGGUAAGGUAACGGCUUACCAAGGCAACGAUGCAUAGCCGACCUGAGAGGGUGAUCGGCCACACUAGGACUGAGACACGGUCCAGACUCCUACGGGAGGCAGCAGUAGGGAAUCUUCCGCAAUGGGCGAAAGCCUGACGGAGCAACGCCGCGUGAGUGAUGAAGGUCUUCGGAUCGUAAAACUCUGUUAUUAGGGAAGAACAUAUGUGUAAGUAACUGUGCACAUCUUGACGGUACCUAAUCAGAAAGCCACGGCUAACUACGUG
rnacentral:rRNA from 1 species